AGGGUUUGAUCAUGGCUCAGAUUGAACGCUGGCGGUAUGCUUAACACAUGCAAGUCGAACGGUAACAGGACGCUAGGAUCCCUUCGGGGUGACUUUGUCGCUGACGAGUGGCGGACGGGUGAGUAAUGCAUAGGAAUCUACCCAGUAGCGGGGGAUAACUCGGAGAAAUUCGAGCUAAUACCGCAUACGUCCUACGGGAGAAAGCGGGGGAUCUUCGGACCUCGCACUAUUGGAUGAGCCUAUGUCAGAUUAGCUAGUUGGUGAGGUAACGGCUCACCAAGGCAGCGAUCUGUAGCUGGUCUGAGAGGAUGAUCAGCCACACUGGGACUGAGACACGGCCCAGACUCCUACGGGAGGCAGCAGUGGGGAAUAUUGGACAAUGGGCGCAAGCCUGAUCCAGCAAUACCGCGUGUGUGAAGAAGGCCUGCGGGUUGUAAAGCACUUUUAUUAGGAAAGAAAAACUCAAGAUUAAUACUCUUGACAUUGACGGUACCUAAAGAAUAAGCACCGGCUAACUCAGUGCCAGCAGCCGCGGUAAUACUGAGGGUGCAAGCGUUAAUCGGAAUUACUGGGCGUAAAGCGAGUGUAGGCGGCAAUAUAAGUCGGAUGUGAAAGCCCUGGGCUCAACCUGGGAAUUGCAUUCGAUACUGUAUAGCUAGAAUUUGAGAGAGGGAAGUGGAAUUCCGGGUGUAGCGGUGAAAUGCGUAGAUAUCCGGAGGA
rnacentral:rRNA from 1 species